GUUUAACUAUAGCUAUUUUAUAUAUCAAAUACUAUUUUAAAAAUAAAUAAUAAUUUUCUUAAUCUUUCCAUAAAAAAUACAGAGGGAGUAAUACCCAAGAGGCUUGACAAAAAAAUAUGGGGUUUACUGGGCCUUUAUUGCAUCGAUCGGCCCAAUAAUAAAAAAAAAAAACGAAAACGAUUCUCUCUACCCAUUAGGGUUUCGCUGUCAUAUAAAGAAGCAAUAAGAGUGAACUGAUCAAAAAUCUUUUCUGACUUCUCGGCCGCUUCUUUGUUGAGAGUUCGCUGCACAUUGUCUGAGAAGUGAAGCGUUUAUCUUCUGUUGAUUCAGCAUGAGGGCUAAGUGGAAGAAGAAGCGUAUGAGGAGAUUGAAGAGGAAGAGACGAAAGAUGAGACAGCGAUCUAAGUAGUCUUUUUCGAACAAACCUUGUUUUUGUGUUUCUUCGUUUUUAAUUUUAACCGAACUCUGUUCUUUAGUUUCGGUUUGAAUGUUUCGUUUGGACCAAAUUAGUACAACGUUAUGUUUCUAUUUAAGCGUUUUGUUUAUUCA